CAGGGCUAGUCAUUCAUGGGAAAUUGGUCAUUUGGUGAUAAAGGGUGUCUCUGAUUAUGUUCAUUAGGCUAUGAAAACACAAAGAUUGUGUUCAUUUGAUCUUUUGUUAUGAGUACCUUCUGAACAGAGGGUUCAGUGAUGGACCUGAUGGUUAGUUAAUGGGAAUAAGAAAGAGGGUCUCUGGGUGAUUUGAAAUUUAACUAAUAACCAUUCUUGAAGUUUACUAAAAUCCCAUUAUUUGCUAGCAGGCCAUCCAAGUAUUAUAUACCAUUUUACAGAAGCUGUUGAUGGGUGAUUCCUAGAAGUGAAAUUGUCUUUUGGUAGUGAGCAAGAAAUUCACUGUUGUUCCUGUCCAUUUUGUCAAGAGUGAGGAAGGAGUUGGGAAUUUUGCUUUAGUAAUUUACACAAACACUUAAUAGUCAAUUCAAAGAAACAAAAUAUCUCAGUUGACUA